GACGAACGCUGGCGGCGUGCUUAACACAUGCAAGUCGAACGGAAAGGCCCUGCUUUUGUGGGGUGCUCGAGUGGCGAACGGGUGAGUAACACGUGAGUAACCUGCCCUUGACUUUGGGAUAACUUCAGGAAACUGGGGCUAAUACCGGAUAGGAGCUCCUGCUGCAUGGUGGGGGUUGGAAAGUUUCGGCGGUUGGGGAUGGACUCGCGGCUUAUCAGCUUGUUGGUGGGGUAGUGGCUUACCAAGGCUUUGACGGGUAGCCGGCCUGAGAGGGUGACCGGCCACAUUGGGACUGAGAUACGGCCCAGACUCCUACGGGAGGCAGUAGUGGGGAAUAUUGCACAAUGGGCGGAAGCCUGAUGCAGCAACGCCGCGUGCGGGAUGACGGCCUUCGGGUUGUAAACCGCUUUCGCCUGUGACGAAGCGUGAGUGACGGUAAUGGGGAAAGAAGCACCGGCUAACUACGU
rnacentral:rRNA from 1 species